rnacentral:lncRNA from 1 species
GUCAUGCCAACACAAUAACAAUAUGACAUAAGCCAUCAAUUUCCAAUCAUAGAUUUACAACAUACCGGUGGUCUCCAAUUACUCUAUUUUCAAAAUCGUUAUUUCGUUUCAAGACAAUUUAUAAAAUCUUUUUAUUUAAACACAUUUUGUUUACAAAACAUAAAAAUUUACCAUUUGAACUCAUUUUCAUAAAAUUUACCAAAAUCUUAUAAAAACAUACUUUAGAUAAUUAAAAUGAUGGUAAGGUUACUCAUUAUUUCGAGAAUCGAAUUUCUAGAGUACUAUGACUACUGAUCAUCGAGUACAAUUUUCUUACCUUUAUCGGAGGAUUCACCACCUAGACAUAGUACAAAAUCGAGAAACUUACUAUAUUGGUACUAAAUCAAAAUUAAACUAAUUUAGACUACUAAUGCAUGAUAUGUAAUGUAAAAAUGUCCGAAUAGCCGUUUAAAUACGGUAUUCGACCUAAUUCGCACUAUUCUCGGUGUAAUUAGCUAAAACCUCCAAUUUAACUCCAAAUCGAUUUCUUUCACUUUCUACACUCCAAUUAUACUUAAAAUACCUCAAUGACUGUGAAUAUGAUUCAAUUUAUCAGUCCGAAUCAUAAAUCGUACAUGUCUAUACAUUAGGUAAAAAUUCAGAUUUUCAUGCCAAAAUUUCCUAUUAAAUUUCUAGCCUCACCAAUCAUUAAAUAUCACCAAAUUAUCAUGAAAUAUCAUCAAUUUCAGCCUCAAUAUUCUCCCUAGAAAAUUCAGCCCCUUAUGGGUAAUGGGAGAAAAUGAAUUUUUUUCUUGUUAUUUUGUUUCUAAAUAUGCUAAACUAACUAAAAACACUAACAUAACUUAGAAUCAAAUCAAUCCAACUUCAUUCUCUCUCCAUACCCAUUUGGUCAGCCAUGAAUUCACCAUGAAAACNNNNNNNNNNNNNNNNNNNNNNNNNNNNNNNNNNNNUUUUCUUGUUGUUUUGUUUCUAAAUAUGCUAAACUAACUAAAAACACUAACAUAACUUAGAAUCAAAUCAAUCCAACUUCAUUCUCUCUCCAUACCCAUUUGGUCAGCCAUGAAUUCACCAUGAAAACUUGAGUUCUAAGCAUGAAAAAUGAAAAAGAAAGCAUGGGUAGUGUAAAUCACAAGAUAAAAUCACAAAAUUUUACCUUUAUUAGCUUAAUCCCUUGAAAUCCACACUUUUUCUUCAAUUUUCCCACCUAGGUUUUGUUCUUUCUUUGUUGAACUUCACUUCAUGCUUUGGCCG